GACGAACGCUGGCGGCGUGCUUAACACAUGCAAGUCGAGCGGUAAGGCCCUUUCGGGGGUACGACGAGCGGCGAACGGGUGAGUAACACGUGGGUGACCUGCCUUUAGCUCUGGGAUAAGCCUGGGAAACUGGGUCUAAUACCGGAUACGACUCCGCGGUGCAUGCUGUGGGGUGGAAAGCCUUGUGCGGCUGGAGAUGGGCCCG
rnacentral:rRNA from 1 species